UAAAAAUUAGUUAAAUUUUAAUAACAUAAAUUUGUCAAAUUUAAAUUAGUUUUACUAUUUUUAU
rnacentral:tRNA from 1 species